AGUGAACGCUGGCGGCAGGCCUAAUACAUGCAAGUCGAACGGCAGCACAGCAGAGCUUGCUCUGUGGGUGGCGAGUGGCGGACGGGUGAGGAAUACAUGGGAAUCUGCCCAGUCGUGGGGGAUAACGUAUGGAAACGUACGCUAAUACCGCAUGCGCCCUUUGGGGGAAAGCCGGGGACCUUCGGGCCUGGCGCGAUUGGAUGAGCCCAUGUUCGAUUAGCUAGUUGGCGGGGUAAAGGCCCACCAAGGCGACGAUCGAUAGCUGGUCUGAGAGGAUGAUCAGCCACACUGGGACUGAGACACGGCCCAGACUCCUACGGGAGGCAGCAGUAGGGAAUAUUGGACAAUGGGCGCAAGCCUGAUCCAGCCAUGCCGCGUGAGUGAAGAAGGCCCUCGGGUUGUAAAGCUCUUUUGUCCGGAAAGAAAAGCAUUCGGUUAAUACCCGGGUGUUUUGACGGUACCGGAAGAAUAAGCACCGGCUAACUUCGUG
rnacentral:rRNA from 1 species